GAUUGUCAUACUUUUAAUGUUUGCUGAACUAGUGAGUGCAAAAUGAUAUCUUAGUUUUAAUUUGUAGUUCCUGAAUAAUUAAUUUGGUUGAGUAUUUAUUUAUUCAUGUGUUUGUUGGCUUUUCUAAUUUCCUUAUCUACAAAGUAAAUGCAGUUCAUAUCUCUCUUUACUUUCUUAGCCCUUUUAUAUCCACAUGUGGAUGAGGAGUUAAAGAUACAUGAGUAGCACUGAGGCAGAUGAAGAGGAAUGAGGCAGAAUGAGUGUUCCAAGAAGAGAAGACACCAUAUUUGAAAUGCCAGACAUCAGUGAGAAUGUGGGGUGUUUGAGAAACCAAGAGAAAUCCUAUGCAUUAUGAUGCUAAAAUGCAAGCUUUGAUUUUAAGUCUUUUCAGGAGAGAAAUGGAGCCAUGGAACAAAAUGAUCUCUAAGUUUACUUCUGGAUUUAAAAACUUUGUAUCUGAAGUUGUUUCAAGUGAACUCAAAAAAGAAAAAAAAAAAAAGGGCCUUGACCACUCAGUUACCCAGUCCCAAAACCUGAGUUCUACUCUUCUUCGUCCUUCAGAGAGAGAUAAAAUGAUAAAACAAAUACUACAAAAUGUUAAUGGGUGAACCUGAGUAAAUAAUAUGUAAGUUUUCUGUCUACUUAUUUAUUUAUUUAUUUAUUUAUUUAUAUUUAUUUAUUUAUUUUUUGCUAUUUCUUGGGCCGCUCCCACGGCAUAUGGAAGUUCCCAGGCUAGGGGUCGAAUCGGAGCUGUAGCUGCCAGCCUACACCAGAGCCACAGCAACGCAGGAUCUGAGCAGCGUCUGCGACCUACACCACAGCUCAUGGCAACGCCGGAUCGUUAACCCACUGAGCAAGGGCAGGGAUCGAACCCGCAACCUCAUGGUUCCUAGUAGGAUUUGUUAACCACUGCGCCACGACAGGAACUCCCUCUGUGUACUUUUUUAAAUUGUUGCAACUUUUCUAUAAAUUUGAAAUAAUUUUCAAAACAAAGUUAACCAAAUAAAACAAAAACUUUGCUGGCUUCCUCA
rnacentral:lncRNA from 1 species